AAGGUAAGUAAACCUUACGAGAGAAUAGUAAAUGAUAGAGAAUGGCCAGUGAUAUAAAAUGGUAAAUGGUGUGGAUUAUGAAAUAGAAAGUAGAAUCAGUAGAUCUACUUGCAUUGGUUGUAUGAGUUGCAUUGUUGCAUUUUUGUGAGGCAUAAGCAUAAUAGCGGUUAGUUGCAUGAAAUUACAUGAUUAUACAUAUCCGUCGGACUAACCUGUUUUGUUGCCUACUUUGGACCUGGUGGGUCGAGCUCUUCCCUUGGGUGGCUGUACCCACUGGGAACUAUGUAUAUAGUUCUCACCCCACGUUUUUCAGGUCUACACGUGGGCGGCGCGGCGGCGCGA
rnacentral:lncRNA from 1 species